AUCGGAUCAGUGAUGUCAUAUAUUUCUGCGUUAUCUAUCUGUAGUCUACUUCUACAAAAGAACUGAAGAUAACAUAAAUGCUGAGAUCAU
rfam:Punica granatum cultivar Dabenzi scaffold103, whole genome shotgun sequence.